AAUAGUCAAAAACUCAAAACAUUAUAGGUGUCUUUAAUGCUAUGAAUUCAUGGGAUUGUGAAGAACAAAAUAAGUCAAACUAUGUCUCUCACCUCCCAUAAAUCUCUUGCAUCAACUGAAGUUCUUGGUUCCAGACCUAGGUCAGUCCAUGAUGCAGUCACUCUUGCUUUCGAUGAACUCCUAUUCCAUAAGACCAUUGCUAACUUGUUAUAACUUGUUAGAACAUCUUAAUAUUAUGUUGGAGUAUUUUAGUUUAUUAUCUCAAGAAACUGAUGAUUGUGUUGAAUGCUGCAAAUUUCAAUAUAAAUAGUCAAAAACUCAAAACAUUAUAGGUGUCUUUAAUGCUAUGAAUUCAUGGGAUUGUGAAGAACAAAAUAAGUCAAACUAUGUCUCUCACCUCCCGUAAAUCUCUUGCAUCAACUGAAGUUCCUGGUUCCAGACCUAGGUCAGUCCAUGAUGCAGUCACUCUUGCUUUCGAUGAACUCCUAUUCCAUAAGACCAUUGCUAACUUGUUAUAACUGAGAGGGCCUGCCCAAAUCUGCACAUGUGCUUUGAAGAAGUGUUAGAAUAUAAGAAAUUACCUUAGAACAUCUUAAUAUUAUGUUGGAGUAUUUUAGUUUAUCUUGUAGGAUCUGUUUGUAAUCUUAGAAUAUCUUAAAUUAUCUCGUUAGAUUAGUUUUCAUAUUACUUUGUUAUUAUAAAUUUAUAAUUAUUAUUUUUUCUGAUUUCGCUAUUUAUUUAGGAUUAGAAGUUUAGUUUCCAUAUAGAUAGUGGUUAGUCUUUAUAU
rnacentral:lncRNA from 1 species